rnacentral:rRNA from 1 species
UACAGAGGUGGCAAGCGUUGUUCGGAAUUACUGGGCGUAAAGGGCGCGUAGGCGGCCUUCUAAGUCAGACGUUAAAUCCCCCGGCUUAACCUGGGAACUGCGUCUGAUACUGGAGGGCUUGAGUGCGGGAGAGGGAUGUGGAAUUCCAGGUGUAGCGGUGAAAUGCGUAGAUAUCUGGAGGAACACCGGUGGCGAAGGCGGCAUCCUGGACAGAGACUGACGCUGAGGCGCGAAAGCGAGGGUAGCAAACGGG